GGCAGCACGGGAGCUUGCUCCUGGUGGCGAGUGGCGAACGGGUGAGUAAUGCGUCGGAACGUACCGAGUAAUGGGGGAUAACGCAGCGAAAGCUGUGCUAAUACCGCAUACGCCCUGAGGGGGAAAGUGGGGGAUCGCAAGACCUCACGUUAUUCGAGCGGCCGACGUCUGAUUAGCUAGUUGGUGGGGUAAAGGCUCACCAAGGCGACGAUCAGUAGCGGGUCUGAGAGGAUGAUCCGUCACACUGGAACUGAGACACGGUCCAGACUCCUACGGGAGGCAGCAGUGGGGAAUUUUGGACAAUGGGGGCAACCCUGAUCCAGCCAUUCCGCGUGAGUGAAGAAGGCCUUCGGGUUGUAAAGCUCUUUCAGCCGGAACGAAACGGUACGCACUAAUAUUGUGUGCUAAUGACGGUACCGGCAGAAGAAGCACCGGCUAACUACGUGCCAGCAGCCGCGGUAAUACGUAGGGUGCGAGCGUUAAUCGGAAUUACUGGGCGUAAAGCGUGCGCAGGCGGAUUGUUAAGCAAGAUGUGAAAUCCCCGGGCUUAACCUGGGAAUGGCAUUUUGAACUGGCAGUCUAGAGUGUGUCAGAGGGGGGUGGAAUUCCACGUGUAGCAGUGAAAUGCGUAGAUAUGUGGAGGAACACCAAUGGCGAAGGCAGCCCCCUGGGAUAACACUGACGCUCAUGUACGAAAGCGUGGGUAGCAAACAGGAUUAGAUACCCUGGUAGUCCACGCCCU
rnacentral:rRNA from 1 species